UCGGUGGCACAACAAAAGACAUAUGACAAAUUUUACUGGCUUAGCUACUAAUAUAUUUGCCAUUAUUAAGUUCAAAAUCACACUUUGCUGCUAGGUAAUUCUUCGUUGGAAAAGAGAGAUAAGUAAGUUGCCUACGUGCAAAUUUGGUGAUACCCCAGCUGCUCCAUCAAACAAUGACGUUUGCGCGUACCUAUUGAUCAUGAACUGACUACGUUUGUUUGUAGCUGUACUCAUACCUAUACAUUCAUAAUUUAAUGUUUUACUGCAACAAACUCGCACAAAAUAACCAAAAAUUGUGAAAAUGAAGUUUACCUUACUAAGUACAGAUAUGUAUAUUAAAAUAGCAGCGAUUACAAAUUGUUGCCGCGCAAUAUUUGUAUACAUAUAAGAAGCAUUUCACAAAAUAAUCUGGGAAAUAUUUGCUUUGCUCCAAACCCCUCAAUAUUUAUAUCUACCAGAAAUAUUUAGUUUAGUAUGAAAACCAAUUAUUUCACCUAUGUCAUUUAGAAUUACUAUUUUUGAUAAGUAACAACGCAGAGCUUAAGUAAAUAAGAUA